AUCCAGCUGACAAGUCCCAAACAGGACGAGACGCGUGUCCUGGAU
rfam:Schistosoma mansoni strain Puerto Rico chromosome 6, complete genome